GUAGACAUCAAAUUGAAAGCAUCUAGUGCAUUUCCGACUCUGACUUUGCUUUGGUUUUCAAGUCUGUUUCAACCUGAAAUCAAGAAUGAAGGUUUACAUGUGCCUGGUUCUUCUGAUGGUCGUUGGGUGUGCCUUGAGUUUCGCACCAAGAGACGAAUCUCUUCAGCGCGACUUUGUGAAAAGAGUCCUUACCGAAGGCGAAGCUCAAGAGAUGGUGGAGAGGGCGGGU